UGCCAGCAGCCGCGGUAAUACGGAGGGUGCGAGCGUUAAUCGGAAUUACUGGGCGUAAAGCGCAUGCAGGUGGAUGAUUAAGUCAGAUGUGAAAGCCCGGGGCUCAACCUCGGAAUAGCAUUUGAAACUGGUCAUCUAGAGUACUGUAGAGGGGGGUAGAAUUUCAGGUGUAGCGGUGAAAUGCGUAGAGAUCUGAAGGAAUACCAGUGGCGAAGGCGGCCCCCUGGGCAGAUACUGACACUCAGAUGCGAAAGCGUGGGGAGCAAAUGCACUGCCGGG
rnacentral:rRNA from 1 species